rnacentral:rRNA from 1 species
GACGAACGCUGGCGGCGUGCUUAACACAUGCAAGUCGAACGGAAAGGCCCUGCUUUUGUGGGGUGCUCGAGUGGCGAACGGGUGAGUAACACGUGAGUAACCUGCCCUUGACUUUGGGAUAACUUCAGGAAACUGGGGCUAAUACCGGAUAGGAGCUCCUGCUGCAUGGUGGGGGUUGGAAAGUUUCGGCGGUUGGGGAUGGACUCGCGGCUUAUCAGCUUGUUGGUGGGGUAGUGGCUUACCAAGGCUUUGACGGGUAGCUGGCCUGAGAGGGUGACCGGCCACAUUGGGACUGAGAUACGGCCCAGACUCCUACGGGAGGCAGCAGUGGGGAAUAUUGCACAAUGGGUGGAAGCCUGAUGCAGCAACGCCGCGUGCGGGAUGACGGCCUUCGGGUUGUAAACCGCUUUCGCCUGUGACGAAGCGUGAGUGACGGUAAUGGGUAAAGAAGCACCGGCUAACUACGUG